rnacentral:rRNA from 1 species
AUGCAAGUCGAACGCUGAAGCACAGCUUGCUGGUGUGGAUGAGUGGCGAACCGGUGAGUAAUACGUGAGUAACCUGCCCUUGACUCUGGGAUAACCCCGGGAAACUGGGUCUAAUACUGGAUGCUACAUGUCACCGCAUGGUGGUGUGUGGAAAGGGUUUACUGGUCUUGGAUGGGCUCACGGCCUAUCAGCUUGUUGGUGAGGUAAUGGCUCACCAAGGCGACGACGGGUAGCCGGCCUGAGAGGGUGACCGGCCACACUGGGACUGAGACACGGCCCAGACUCCUACGGGAGGCAGCAGUGGGGAAUAUUGCACAAUGGGCGAAAGCCUGAUGCAGCGACGCCGCGUGAGGGAUGACGGCCUUCGGGUUGUAAACCUCUUUCAGCAGGGAAGAAGCCACAAGUGACGGUACCUGCAGAAGAAGCGCCGGCUAACUACGUGCCAGCAGCCGCGGUAAUACGUAGGGCGCAAGCGUUGUCCGGAAUUAUUGGGCGUAAAGAGCUCGUAGGCGGUUUGUCGCGUCUGCUGUGAAAGCCCGGGGCUUAACCCCGGGUGUGCAGUGGGUA